AUUGAACGCUGGCGGCAGGCCUAACACAUGCAAGUCGAGCGGAGUGGCGGACGGGUGCGUAAUGCCUAGGAAUCUGCCUGGUAGUGGGGGAUAAAGUCCGGAAACGGGAGCUAAUACCGCAUACUAUCAGAUGAGCCUAGGUCGGAUUAGCUAGUUGGUGGGGUAAAGGCCUACCAAGGCGACGAUGCGUAACUGGUCUGAGAGGAUGAUCAGUCACACUGGAACUGAGACACGGUCCAGAUUCCGACGUGGGGCAGCAUUGGGGAAUAUUGGACAAUGGGCGAAAGCCUGAUCCAGCCAUGCCGCGUGUGUGAAGAAGGUCUUCGGAUUGUAAAGCACUUUAAGUUGGUAGGCGUUACCAACAGAAUAAGCACCGGCUAACUUCGUGCCAGCAGCCGCGGUAAUUC
rnacentral:rRNA from 1 species